rnacentral:sRNA from 1 species
GCCAGGUGCAGUGGCACACACCUGUAAUCCCAGUGGCUUGGGAGGCUGAGGCAGGAGGAUUAUGAGUUCAAAGCCAGCCUCAGCAAAAGCAAGGCAGUAAGACCCUGUCUCUA